rnacentral:rRNA from 1 species
UACGUAGGUCCCGAGCGUUGUCCGGAUUUAUUGGGCGUAAAGCGAGCGCAGGUGGUUUAUUAAGUCUGGUGUAAAAGGCAGUGGCUCAACCAUUGUAUGCAUUGGAAACUGGUAGACUUGAGUGCAGGAGAGGAGAGUGGAAUUCCAUGUGUGGCGGUGAAAUGCGUAGAUAUAUGGAAGAACACCAGUGGCGAAAGCGGCUCUCUGGUCUGUAACUGACGCUGAGGUUCGAAAGCGUGGGUAGCAAACAGG